CUCUGUGGUACCUUGUGGUAUGCACAUAAUAAAUUAUUGUGUUACUUCAUUACGUUUAGCGUGUAUGUUUACAUUGAGUAUCUGUCAUAUGUGGAGAUGUUGUUAUUGUUGUCUGGAGUGUGAAUCAUUGUAUGUAAUAUUGAAGUAUCGGUAAUAAAGUGUAUACAAAUAAUGAAUACAGUUGUUGAAUAAUCAUUACAGAGAAAGAUUCUCACAUUGGCGACGAGAACGGUGAACAGUGCAUGUGAAAUUAGUUUAAUUUCGGUUCGGGAAGUGUUGUCUUUGGAAAAAGAAAGAGAUGAGUGGUGUGUGUGGUGCAUGCAGAGUGGUGAUGACCUUCAGGUGAUGACUUGUGAUUGAAUUUCAACAUUGGAAUCAAAAAGGUACAACCAUAAGUAACAGCCAAGUAAUUUACCAAAAUGCCGAGCAGAGAUGGAUGACCAAAUGGAUGACUGUACUACUAAUUCUGAUGUGAGACUGAAGCGAGACGUUCAUAAACUGAGGAGACUAUAAGCGAAAACAACGUGGAGUGACCUUGCUGCGGAUCUGGAGAAAAAACGAGAUGUGGUACCUUGUGGUAUUCACAUAAUAAAUUAUUGUGUUACUUCAUUACGUUUAGCGUGUAUGUUUACAUUGAGUAUCUGUCAUAUGUGGAGAUGUUGUUAUUGUUGUCUGGAGUGUGAAUCAUUGUAUGUAAUAUUGAAGUAUCGGUAAUAAAGUGUAUACAAAUAAUGAA